UUCAUUGCAGCAUCUCCGAACCUUGAAAGUACCUGGCAAACAGAUAACUGCCUGUUCUUGGGAAGGUGGAUCACUUCGCAUUGCAUUAGCUGUGGACUCUUUUAUCUAUUUUGCUAACAUCCGUCCUGAUUACCGAUGGUGCUUCUUUGCCAACACAGUUGUGUACACAUAUACUAAACCUGAGCGUUCUGAGGCUUGUGUUACGUUCUGGGAUAAUUGCAACAAUGAGCACUUCAUCAAGCACAUCAAAUAUUUAAUGGGAAUGGCUUCAUCUGGGGAUCAUUGUGUACUGGCAGUGCGCACAGAUGAUGGAUCAGGACAAUUUGGGCUCAUUAUCUGCAAUGCUAUAGGGACACCUGUUGACACCUGGUGUCGUCUGCAUCACACCUGCCACACUCACAACCUGCCUCUCCCCUUCGCUCCACCGUAAUGAAUUACUCACCUGCCAGCCCUUCAUCAGGCAUUGUGGAUGAUCCCAGUCGAGAGGCCUUAAAGGAGGAGCAGUAAUACCUUCAGUAUAAUUAAUGAGGCCUCUACAGCAGCCAUUAUGAGUGUAGUGUGGCAGCCGUACGUGUGUGUGUGUGUGUUGAUGGCACAGUGGGGAUGGUACCAAUGUACAGGCCAUGUGAGGCAGGCAGCAGACGACGAGUCACCGCUACUGCAAUCCAGUUGACUUCCCACAUCUACUUGCUUCUCAUUUAAUUUAUUUUUGAUUAACACACAAUACAACUGUAUAAAGUAACUGUACCUGUGUAGUAUUUAGAUGGCUUAAAUAAAGUAUUUUUUCUCA